rnacentral:rRNA from 1 species
GACGAACGCUGGCGGCGUGCUUAACACAUGCAAGUCGAACGGAAAGGCCCUGCUCUUGUUGGGUGGUCGAGUGGCGAACGGGUGAGUAACACGUGAGUAACCUGCCCUUGACUUUGGGAUAACUUCACGGAACUGGGGCGAAUAUCGGAUAGGAUCUCCUGCUGCUUGGUGGUGGUUGGAAAGUUUCGGCCGUUGUGUCUGUACUCGCGGCUUAUGAGCCUGUUGGUGGGGUAGUGGCUGUCGAAGGCUUUGACGGGUAGCCGGCCUGAGAGGGGUUCCGGCCACAUUGGGACUGAGAUAGGGCGCAGAAGCGUACGGUAGGCAGCAGUGGGGAAUAUUGCACAGUGGGCGGGAGCCUGAUGCGACGGCGCCGCGUGCGGGAUGACGGCCUUCGGGUUGUGAACCGCUUUCGCCUGUGACGUGGCGUGAGUGACGGUAAUGGGUAAAGAAGCACCGGCUAACUACGUG